UGAUUAGUGGGCACACAUCCAAUGGAGUGAGAACCAUCCAAAGGUCUUGAAAGAAACAGUUGGAAAGCUAUGAGGAGAACCAAGAGAAAGGAGCAUCAAACAUACCUAGUGAGGAAAAGAUAGUCAGAAAGCUGAUUAAUAGUAUCAAAUUCUCGAGGAGUUGAGGAUGGUUAGAACGGAGACAUGGCCAUGACAUUUGUCACUUGGGUUCUGUGACUUCUGAUGGGAGCUUGAUUUCCCUUCCUCUCUAAUGAUACACUGGUCUGACUCUGCUGCCAACUCAGAACUUACUGUGAAAUGACUCCCCCAGCCAGUUUCAGCUACUUCUUCUCCAUGAUGCUUAUUGAUUUCUGCGUGUGAUGCUUGACUCUCACCUUCUACAAUGACUCCGGAGUCUUUGGGGAAAAAUGUUCAAGAUGGAUGUGUGAGAGAGCCUUUCUGGUUUGUGACCUUGACUGCUCUUGGCUUUCAAGUCUGUGUCAUAUUUUUCAUUACCAUCUUACCACCUCCCUGUUUUCCAGUCAUUACAUUAAAGUCAUCAUAUAUUGAGGAAAACAUGGUAUUUUCUUAGAGAUCUGUGUCGAGAAGGCCUUCUCUACUUCUUCACUGCCCUCAUGUUAUUGGCAUAUGAACUGGAGUUAUAUUUAUGGGAGUCAUUCAACACACAAUCAUCAUGAGAAUGGAACGGCCAGAGAACUCUAUGUCCAUGGAAUUGCUAGUUGGUGUUGCCUUGGGGGACUCAAAGAGACCAACUCCACCAAAUACUUUAUUUCUUCAAAUAGAACCUGUAAAUCCAUCAGCCAUUUCAGUACAAUCUCUUUGGUCUUCUCCUUCCAUUUCCAUCUAAAAACUAACCCAGAGUGACUCAGUUUCCACAUAGAUUUUGAAUGGAUUGGGCAUUUGAUAAACAUCUCACAAUUUUAGUUCCAAGAGGACUGUGAGAACUACAUCACCCUUUUCGAGAAGCAGAGAGAAGGUUGCUCGCCUGUGGGACCAAUGCUCGUCACCCUAGCUGCUGGAAUUUGAACAUGUGGGUCCAGAUGGUUUUCAAAGACUGUAAUUUCAGGGGAUUUUAAACAACACAUUCUUAUUCUGUAAUAGACGGCAUUUGAUCCUCAUUUGAUGUUGGUUCCUGGAAAAUCCCUACCUUUCAAAAUUCAUGAGAGGAUUUGAGUGGUAAUCUAAACAGCUGGUCAUUUUCCUGCUCAAUUCAUUUAAAUCCAGCCAAGAAAAAAUAAAAGGAAGAAAGAAAGAACAAAGCCAGAUUUUAAAUAGGGUUAGGACUUCCAGGCCCUCCUAGAGAUAAUGGUGUGAAAUUCCAAUUGGGCAACCUCUUGAUACAUCAACAAUCUCAACUCAAGAAAACCUACUUGUAAGGAGCAAAUGUGAAUUACUGAAAACACAAAGAUAGCAGCAAAAUGUAAAGAAUUCCCGAGAUAAAAUAGAACCAUUACUGGGUUGGCCUUCAUGGGCCUGUUGGGAAGAAAAGUGAUACGUAAGAUACUGGAACUGAUGGUACCCUGGUAUUAGGAGCAGAUCCUCUGGCCUCUCUGCCCACUUCUGGGAGCUGUAUGCUAGGAAUGCCAUUUACCAAAAUAACUAGGCAAAGAGU